rnacentral:misc_RNA from 1 species
AGCUAUCUCUCAGCGUGACGGUCCGGUUGAAUACGAGUUUGUCCGGAGUCGAGUCUUUAUCAACUGCAAAGUACCCAAGCCUUUCAAAUUGGAAUGUGUCCCCAACGACGGCAUUCCUAAGUUCUGGUACAGCAUAUGCACUUGAGAUGACUACUUUAGAUUGUGGGUUCAAAUCAGCAAGCCAAUCAUCAAGAUCAGCCGGGUUCUCAGAAAGGAAUAGUUUGUCAAACAAUCUAACUUCCACAUUGAGUGGAUUAACUCCUGGAGAAGGUUGUGCAACCCAAUGUAGGACCCCCUUUGGCUUUGAUUUCUUGGAA